GUAGUACUCCCUUCGUUCCAAAUUACUCGUCGUAGAAAUAGAUGUAUCUAGAACUAAAAUACAUCUAGAUACAUCCAUAUCUGUGACAAGUAAUUCGGAACGGAGGAAAUAGUAU
rnacentral:pre_miRNA from 1 species